AAGUCGUAACAAGGUUUCCGUAGGUGAACCUGCGGAAGGAUCAUUAUUACAAAAGUGUGGUUUCACAACUACAUUUAAACCAAAAUGUGCAACUGUAUCGGAAACGUUGGGGUUUUAUUUGGCUUGAAAGUUUCCCUGACGUUUCUUUGUUUUUUAUUCAAAACUUUAAAGCUUUAUUUUUAACCCAAUUUCACCUAGAUAUUCUUAGUAUGAACUUAAACAUUUUCUCGAUUCGAAAGGAUCUACAGAAAAAUCAUACGAAACUUAAGAA
rnacentral:misc_RNA from 1 species